AUUGAACGCUGGCGGCAGGCCUAACACAUGCAAGUCGAGCGGAUGAAGGGGGCUUGCUCCUGGAUUCCGCGGCGGACGGGUGAGUAAUGCCUAGGAAUCUGCCUGGUCGUGGGGGAUAACGUCAGGAAACGGGCGCUAAUACCGCAUCCGUCCUGAGGGAGAAAGUGGGGGAUCUUCGGACCUCACGCUAUCAGAUGAGCCUAGGUCGGAUUAGCUCGUUGGUGGGGUAAAGGCCUACCAAGGCGACGAUCCGUAACUGGUCUGAGAGGAUGAUCAGUCACACUGGAACUGAGACACGGUCCAGACUCCUACGGGAGGCAGCAGUGGGGAAUAUUGGACAAUGGGCGAAAGCCUGAUCCAGCCAUGCCGCGUGUGUGAAGAAGGUCUUCGGAUUGUAAAGCACUUUAAGUUGGGAGGAAGGGCAGUAAGUUAAUACCUUGCUGUUUUGACGUUACCAACAGAAUAAGCACCGGCUAACUUCGUG
rnacentral:rRNA from 1 species